GCCAGGCGUGGUGGCACAUGCCUGUAAUCCUAGUGACUUGGGAGGCUGAGGCAGGAGGAUCGUGAGUUCAAAGCCAGGCUUAGUAAAAAGCAAUGCACUAAGCAAUUCAGUGAAACCCUGUCUCUA
rnacentral:sRNA from 1 species